AGUGAACGCUGGCGGUAGGCCUAACACAUGCAAGUCGAACGGCAGCACAGUAAGAGCUUGCUCUUACGGGUGGCGAGUGGCGGACGGGUGAGGAAUACAUCGGAAUCUACUUUUUCGUGGGGGAUAACGUAGGGAAACUUACGCUAAUACCGCAUACGACCUACGGGUGAAAGCAGGGGAUCUUCGGACCUUGCGCGAUUGAAUGAGCCGAUGUCGGAUUAGCUAGUUGGCGGGGUAAAGGCCCACCAAGGCGACGAUCCGUAGCUGGUCUGAGAGGAUGGUCAGCCACACGGGAACUGAGACACGGUCCAGACUCCUACGGGAGGCAGCAGUGGGGAAUAUUGGACAAUGGGCGCAGGCCUGAUCCAGCCAUACCGCGUGGGUGAAGAAGGCCUUCGGGUUGUAAAGCCCUUUUGUUGGGAAAGAAAAGCAGCAGGUUAAUACCCCGCUGUUCUGACGGUACCCAAAGAAUAAGCACCGGCUAACUUCGUG
rnacentral:rRNA from 1 species